rnacentral:lncRNA from 1 species
AUUUGAGAACCCAUAGGUUGGACUAAAGCGGCAGUGAGACUGAGGAGAAGCUAAGCAUGCUUGACUGGAGAUAUACGGAAUGGGAAUGACAGCUUAAUGCUUGUAGAUUAGUCCUUGCAUGAGGAAGGUCGAGGGCAGCAUGGAGGAUCUCGUCGGUGAUCUUCUCCAGCAAGGUGUGGCGCUUGGAAUUGGGAGUAGUUGGAGAGUUGAGAGAGAGAAAGCAAUGAGGGAGAGAGAACGAACUGCUGGUAGUAGUGACUUCAGGGGGAGUGGACGAGGUUGGGUCGGACAUGUGUGGAGAUUUGAUGAAAUUACGAGAAGUGAGAAGUUACGAAAUUCCAUAUAACUCAUGGCUUUAUGGCCUCAGAUUAAUCUUGUGAAAAUUCCGUAAAAAUCCACGGAGAUUCCUAAUUAACCUGUAAAAAAAUUGUAAAAAUUGUUGAAGUUCUACACAUAAUCAUCAACUAGAUCUACUCAAAACUCUAGUUAGAUUUGCAAGGAUUGAAUAUACACAAAUAGUGUGGAAAAAACGUUAGGGAAUUCUUACCACCAAACCUGUAAAACUUUUGUAAAAUUUAUGUGGAAGUUAUGCACACAAACAUUAAUAAGAACUACUAAAAAGAUUAUGCUUGGACUUUUAAAGAUCGGACAAACACGAACAAUUGCAAGAACUUUGGAUUUGAAUUCAAAGUUUAACUUGCCUCUGCAUAUUCGUCAUUGGUUUAGUUGGAAUAAAUAUAUCAUCAAG